CCUUAAAGCUACUCUCAGUUCGGAUUGUAGGCUGAAACUCGCCUACAUGAAGCUGGAGUUACUAGUAAUCGCAGAUCAGAAUGCUGCGGUGAAUGCGUUCCCGGGUCUUGUACACACCGCCCGUCACCCCACGGGAGUUGGAGACGCCCGAAGCCGAUUAUCUAACCUUUUGGAAGAAGUCGUCGAAGGUGGAAUCAAUAACUGGGGUGAAGUCGUAACAAGGUAGCCGUAUCGGAAGGUGCGGCUGGAUCACCUCCUUUCUAAGGAGA
rnacentral:rRNA from 1 species